rnacentral:rRNA from 1 species
GACGAACGCUGGCGGCGUGCUUAACACAUGCAAGUCGAACGAUGAAGCCCAGCUUGCUGGGUGGAUUAGUGGCGAACGGGUGAGUAACACGUGAGUAAUCUGCCCCUCACUUUGGGAUAAGCCCCGGAAACGGGGUCUAAUACUGGAUAUGACCUUUCCUCGCAUGAGGUUUGGUGGAAAGUUUUUCGGUGGGGGAUGUGCUCGCGGCCUAUCAGCUUGUUGGUGAGGUAACGGCUCACCAAGGCGACGACGGGUAGCCGGCCUGAGAGGGUGAACGGCCACACUGGGACUGAGACACGGCCCAGACUCCUACGGGAGGCAGCAGUGGGGAAUAUUGCACAAUGGGCGAAAGCCUGAUGCAGCGACGCCGCGUGAGGGAUGAAGGCCUUCGGGUUGUAAACCUCUUUCAGCAGGGGAGAAGCGAAAGUGACGGUACCUGCAGAAGAAGCACCGGCUAACUACGUGC